rnacentral:misc_RNA from 1 species
GAUGAAGAACGCAGCGAAAUGCGAUAAGUAGUGUGAAUUGCAGACUAGAGUGAAUCAUCGAAUUUUUGAACGCAUAUUGCGCUCUCCGGUAUUCCGGGGAGCAUGCCUGGCUGAGGGUCGGUAAAACAAAUCUCUGGGUGAAAAUCCCAGUGGUCGAUGGGUGUCUAUCCGAUUGGCCCCUUGGGGAAUUUAAUCGGUCACCUGAAAUAACAGGCUCCGCUGGUUCGCGGACUCGUGCAGUAAAGAUACAAAUAUGAGUGUGCGCCUAGCGCCUUCGGAUAUCACACUUCACGAUAUGCGGCAAAAGCGAGAAGCCACGUUUUGGCUGUUUUAGCCAAAUGCGUCCAUGGCGCAUAUUUUGUAAGCUCGACCUCAGAUCAAGCAAGACCACCCGCUGAACUUAAGCAUAUCAAUAAGCGGAGGA